rnacentral:rRNA from 1 species
GUCUAUGACCAUACCACCCUGAAUGUACCCUAUUUAGUCUGAUCUCAGAAACUAAGCAGGGUCAGGCCUGGUUAGUACUUGGAUGGGAGACCGCCUGGGAAUACUGGGUGCUGUAGGCU